GGAAGGAUCAUUAUCGAACGUUUGAAGGGGUUGUUUGCUGGCCCGCAUCAAAAAACGGGCAUGUGCACGCUCCGUUCUCACUCUUCAACACCCCCUCCGUGCACUUUUUUGUAGGGUGGUGCAGUGCGUACGUGUGUGCGUGCAUGUCGCCCCCUAUGUCUGUUAUGAUUAACUCUGUAGCAUGUAUGAGAAUGUUUGAAGCGUGCAAACGCAUCCACAUACAACUUUCAGCAACGGAUCUCUUGGCUCUCGCAUCGAUGAAGAACGCAGCGAAAUGCGAUAAGUAAUGUGAAUUGCAGAAUUCAGUGAAUCAUCGAAUCUUUGAACGCAUCUUGCGCUCCUUGGUAUUCCGAGGAGCAUGCCUGUUUGAGUGUCAUUGAAUCAUCAACAAUCAUGAUUCUUUCCCUUUCUCCUUGGAAAAAGGAUAUGUAUAGAGUCUUGAGAGUUGGACUUGGAGGGUGUAUGCUGGCCUCUCACUUUUCUUUCAGUGAACCAUGGCUGGCUCCUCUUAAAUGCAUUAGCCUGCCUGAACGUUACACUUUAUAUUGGCUGUUCGGUGUGAUAGUUUUUCUACGCCGCAGCUGUGUGAGAGAGGUGCUUUCAGUUAUGUGUGGCUUCUAAUGGUCUCUCUCUCGGGGACAAAUCAUCAUUGACCUCUGACCUCAAAUCAGGUAGGAUUACCCGCUGAACUUAAGCAUAUCAAUAAGCGGAGGAAAAGAAACUAACAAGGAUUCCCCUAGUAACUGCGAGUGAAGCGGGAAAAGCUCAAAUUUAAAAUCUGGCGGUCUUUGGCCGUCCGAGUUGUAAUCUGGAGAAGUGCUUUUCCGUGCUGGACCGUGUACAAGUCUCUUGGAACAGAGCGUCAUAGAGGGUGAGAAUCCCGUCUUUGACACGGACUACCAGUGCUUUGUGAUGCGCUCUCAAAGAGUCGAGUUGUUUGGGAAUGCAGCUCAAAAUGGGUGGUAAAUUCCAUCUAAAGCUAAAUAUUGGCGAGAGACCGAUAGCGAACAAGUACCGUGAGGGAAAGAUGAAAAGAACUUUGGAAAGAGAGUUAAACAGUACGUGAAAUUGCUGAAAGGGAAACGCUUGAAGUCAGUCACGUCAGCCAAAACUCAGCCUUGCUUUUUCGCUUGGUGUAUUUUUUGGUUUGACGGGUCAGCAUCAGUUUUGAUCGUCAGACAAUGGCUGAGGGAAUGUGGCAUCUUCGGAUGUGUUUAUAGCCCUCGGUCGCAUGUGACGGUUGGAACUGAGACGCUUACAGCGCACCUCUAACGGUCGGGGUUCGCCCACGUUUUGCGCUUAGGAUGCUGGCAUAAUGGCUUUAAACGACCCGUCUUGAAACACGGACCAAGGAGUCUAACAUGCCCGCGAGUGUUUGGGUGGGAAAACUCGAGCGCGUAAUGAAAGUGAAAGUCGAGACUCUUUUUCUUUGAGGCAUCGACGCCCGGACCUGAUCUUCGGUGACGGAUCUGCGGUAGAGCGUGUAUGUUGGGACCCGAAAGAUGGUGAACUAUGCCUGAAUAGGGUGAAGCCAGAGGAAACUCUGGUGGAGGCUCGUAGCGAUUCUGACGUGCAAAUCGAUCGUCAAAUUUGGGUAUAGGGGCGAAAGACUAAUCGAACCAUCUAGUAGCUGGUUCCUGC
rnacentral:misc_RNA from 1 species